UGGGGAAUUUUGGACAAUGGGCGAAAGCCUGAUCCAGCCAUGCCGCGUGAGUGAAGAAGGCCUUCGGGUUGUAAAGCUCUUUUAGUCGGAAAGAAAGAGUUGCAAUGAAUAAUUGUGAUUUAUGACGGUACCGACAGAAAAAGCACCGGCUAACUACGUGCCAGCAGCCGCGGUAAUACGUAGGGUGCGAGCGUUAAUCGGAAUUACUGGGCGUAAAGGGUGCGCAGGCGGUCUUGCAAGUCAGAUGUGCAAGCCCCGGGCUUAACCUGGGAAUUGCGUUUGAAACUACAAGGCUAGAGUGCAGCAGAGGGGAGUGGAAUUCCAUGUGUAGCAGUGAAAUGCGUAGAGAUGUGGAAGAACACCGAUGGCGAAGGCAGCUCCCUGGGUUGACACUGACGCUCAUGCACGAAAGCGUGGGGAGCAAACA
rnacentral:rRNA from 1 species